CUUCUUCUUCUUCUAUUCUUUCUAAAAUAUAACAUUUAUAUUUUGCAAAUGCUUAAAUCUAAGUUUUUCACUUUGAUAUAAUUUAAUUCUAUAAAUAUUAACCUAAAAUUUUUUUCUUAAAAUCACCUGUCCCCACAAAAAAACUUCAUAUGUCAGCAUAAUGAAUUGAAAGGCUAUUUUUAAGAAAAACUUCAUAUUAACAUUUUAAUCGAGAUGAUUAAGUAAUUAACAAUAUUAUAAAAAUGAAGAGAUAAAAUUAUACUAAAUUAAUUAUAAAAAUUAAAUAUCAAAUUUAAGAUUAACAUAACUUUAAAUCGACAUAUUAACAAAACCUCAGUAAAUCCUUUUUAAAGUAAAAGCAAACAAAUAAAUUUUUAGAUGAAAUGAUCCCAAAUUAAUUAUAAGGAUCAAAAUCAUAAUUUAACUUUAAAUCUAUACAUGAAUUACACAAUCUCAGUGCGUGAAUUUUUGUAGUGGAUCAAAGCGCAAAAUUUUGAGCAGGCAAUUGUUGAAAUCUUUAUUUCUUUGAUUAGGACUCUUGAGUUUGGAUUGCAUGUUAGUUAAGGUGAUUUUAUUAUACGCAAACCCUGCUAUUUGGUCAUCUGUUCUUUCUUCUAUUCAAUCGGUUUUGAUUUUGGGUAAUAAUGUUCUUUAUUUUGAGAUUUCAAGAAGUAAGUUUGUUGGCUUGGAUUCAUUUAUAUUAUAAAAGUGUUUUGUUAAGCGGAUCGAAUAAUAUAUAAAAAUAAAUAAAAAUAUUAAUAAAGACUUAUAAAAUAUAAUUUAUUCAAUUAUAAAAUAUAUUUAAGUUUAUAAAAUAAUUUUUAUUGUUACUGUUUUUUCAAAAACCAUACGUAUUCAAUCGAGUAACUAUCUAAACUUAACUUGAUUCGAUUAUAAAAAGAGUUGAGGAUAAAAAUUUUAAAUAUUGAAAAUAAUAUAUGAAAAAAUUAACCAUCAAUUUAACUGAUCAGAAUAAAAGAAAAGUACAAUUAACUCUAAAUCCAACAUUCAGAUUCUAAACAACCCUUUCCUUUCGAAAUCUUUCUCCUUUCAAAAAUAUUAGACAAAAUCAACCACUAAAAAAAAAACAUAAAUUAUAUGUAAAAAAUGAGGAAAAACGUAGCAGUUGACUUUUUAAUCCCAAAGGUUGAAAAACAUGUCAUACGAGCCCUUCUUGUGUCUUUGGAUAUUUUUGGUCUUUUUGUCACUACAAAAUAAUGGGUCCAACUUUGUUUCGAACUUAAUCACAGUCCGAUUAAAAGAUGCAUUUCUUAUGCUUUCUCAAUUUCUGAUGUCAACCAUCACUCACUUUAAUUUACUACAAACUACUUGAUUAGGAUGUUUCUUAGCUUUAAUGCCUUGGUCCUAAACUAUGGAAAAUGUUUCUUUAAAAAUGAAAGCAAAUUCUGUUGACUCCAUUCAAAAAAAAAAAUGAAAUCACAAGUUUAAACAUGAUAAAUUAUAAUCUAACUUAUUUAUUGGGAUUUUAAUAAGAUUUAACUUAUUUUAGAUCCAAUAAAAGGCUAAACUAUUGAGAUUGAAGUGAUGUUUAAAAUUGAAACAUAUUUAAUGAUGGAGAGUGUUUUUGGCUUACCUAUUAAUUUAUAUUAUGUGUAUGUUCUAGAUUUAAGUUAUUUUUAUUUUUUAAAUUUUGAAAUUCAGAUUGAAAAUGAACAGAAUAAAAAAAAAUAAGAACUAAAUCUACAACUUAAAUAUAGUACAAAAUUAAUAUUAAAAUUUAAAUUAAUGAAUAUAAUUAUUAUUUAAGAUAAAUUGAAAUUUUAAAAUUGAGAAAAAUAUUAGACUAACAAGUAGUAAAUCCUUAGGUAGCAACAACAUCAGCACAAGACGAGAAGCAGUCGUUGGUGGAUGGAAUAUUAGAAGGCAGAGAUAGUGUGGGGUAUCCUAUGACUUUGGCCUAUUAGACAGCUUGUAGGCUAAUACGGUAUUCGGAGCUCCACUCCGCUCCCCACGAUCAACUCUAAACAAUAAUAUGACUUUGGUGUCCAUUGUCCUCUGGCAUCCGAUUUUUUUUUUUUAAAUCUUUAAUUUGCCAACCAAAGACAAUUUCACAACUACUUCCCUUUAUUUUUCCUUUCUCUCUUGUACUAUAUAAUAUAUAUACAACCCUUUUGUCUUCUUUCUUUAUUAACAUACAACACUCCUACCUCCAUUCGCCAGUGAAACUGUAAACAAAAUGAUUUUUAAACACUACCAUUCGUUUUAAUAUAUAUAUAUAUAUGACUAUUCAAAAAAUUGAACAUAUUUGUAUUAAAUAUCUCACCCACACUUCACAUAAAACAUAGCCCAAAAAGAAACCAUACUAUAUUCACUUACAUCAUUCAUGGCAGGCACCUUCAAUAAUAAAAAAAGACCAUCCCAUUUGUGUUUGUGAUGUGAACGUGUGCAUGGUUGAACCCAUUUGACACAAGACCUUCCAACAAACUCCUAUAUAACUUUCUUGUCCAAGGAUGUAGACGGUGCUGUUCUCAUCGAUCUUACUUCAUUGGCUUUUUUUGAUGGAUAAUCCAUCAGAAAACCAUCCUGCACAUGGUUAUAACAUCCACACUUGUACUUAAUCUGUUGAAUUCAUUCUCCAAUCAUGACUUUUGAGACAAGAAGCUUCUCAAGGUCAAUGUAAAUAGUUAAAGGGAAAAACUUUUGUUGCUUUCUAUAAUCCGUAUUAUAAUCUAAUUUAAUGCCCUUAUCAACUAAUUCCCCCGUCUCUAUCGAUAUGCUUUUUUCCUAUCUUCUUAUUUAAGAGAUUAUAGAUACUUUAUAAAAAAACAUUAUUUAUAUUGAGAUUUUAAUAAGAUUUUAUUUGUUUUAUGACUAAUAAAGCUCUUAAAGGUUAAACCAUUGAAACACAAGUGAAAAAGGUUAAUAUUGAAUAUUUUUUUAUGAUUGAGUCAGUGUUUUUAUGUCAACUAUUAAUUUAAUAGAUAAAUCUUACUGUCAUUUUUAAUCACAACAUUUUUUGAAUUAUGAAAUUCUAGAAUUUUAAAAGUAAGAUAAAAAAAAAUUAAUCAAACUAGAGAAUAAUGAUUAAAUUUACAACUUACGUAUCAUACAAAAUUAAUAGUAGAAUCUGACCUGAAUUAAUUUGAAAUAUAUAAAAACUAAAGUUACUCAUCCAACAAAUACUAAUAAUAUCUUAAUUUUACCUAGAAAGCAGGGAAGGAAAAGAGAAACAAAACAGAAACUUCCUAGGUAUAUCAGGAAUCCGUUGCUUAAGUUGGCUAACUUUGUCUUGCAUAUAAAAACAAAAGAAAUGGACAAGAGAUAGUUAAAAGAUAAUCCAUUUUAUUAAUAAAAUAUUUAAAUAUAAUCUUGGUUUAAUAUCCAUAUAUUUUCUAUAAUUAAAUAAAAUAUUUUAAAAUUUAUUUAAUUUUAAUUAAGGCUGAUGAUUUUUAUUUUUACUCAAAUUCAAAUCAAAGCAAGUCGAAUCUAUUAAGUAAAGCUUUUGUAUUUAUAUUUAACAUUUAUUUUGAGCUAAGUAUAAAUAUAGAAUUCUUUAAAUAUAAAAAAGUAAACAUGUUUGUAUUUAAAUAAAUGUUUAAAUGUUUGCAUCCCACACUCACUUCACAUGGCUAAUGAAAUUUUAAAAAAUCAAAAACCCAAAAAGGGAAACAAAGGUGCUUUGUAAUAAGCCAAUGUUAAAGAGUUCGGAUUUGCUUUGGUUUGAUUCAUUUCAUUCAUCUCAGCCCCACUUUUGUCUUCUUUCUUUAUUAUUUAAUUGUUGAGGGUUUAAUUUUCAUUUUGAAUAUGUAACAAUUUUAAAAAUUGUGGUGAGUAUCACUUAAAAUAAAAAAAAUUAAAGAAAAUGCUUGAAAACAGUGAAAUUGAAUGGCAAUUAGAAGGUUAGUCUUUGAGUUUGUGAUGUGAACGUGUGUGUAUGUCUGAACCAUUAGGGCUUAGGCACAAGACCUUCCAAGAGAUUCCUAUAUAAAAUUUUUCUUCCUGUUUUCUUGGUUUGCUAACUCAACAAAACAAAUUCGGAUAUCCGAAUUUGUGUUUGUGUAAUAAAAAGUGUACAACUACCUUCCUUUCUUUUUCAUUUCCUUUUUCUUCUCUAUUUAUAUCAAGCUCACCCUAUUAUAAAUACAUAUUAUAUAUACAUAUAUGCGCCUUUAUCUUCUUUCUUUAUUGCACCAAUCACUAUGAUUUUCCCACGAAAGAUUAAGACGUCUCUUUCUUCAAUUGCAGCAUUUUUCAUUCCACGCCGUCCUGAAUUAUACCGGCAAGAAGAGCCACCAUCGCUGCCACGGCCAGCAACCGCUGCCGGUAUCGACAUCGAAGGUCAGCCAUCAGCAUCUCUACAACCCCAAUUAUAGUCUCAGCUAGAGACUUUACCAGCCCUCCAGAAUCAUCAACAAUGGCAAAAUGCAGUGAUAUCAUUUUGCUUUUCAUAUGCAUUGGGUCUAUCCCUCCAAUAUGCAGAGACACCCCUUCAGUCCAAUCAACACCUCCCAUUUCCCACGGUAUUGCUUUCGUUCCUUGUCCUACUUACCUUCACUUGUAUCUUGGGUGCUUUCUUUAUCAACCCAUAUUGCACCACCACUUCGAAUGCAUUGCAGAAAGUUGGUCUCCUCCUGGCAGCAGCUGCAUUCACCCACACUCUUUCGAUUCCCUUACCGUUCGAGCUCAAGUGCACCAUAUGGGCGGUGUUUCUCCUCCCCUUGCUCACUGCCAUCAUCUUAACUUACUUCAAUACAAAGACGGCCUGAUUUUAAACUUACAAUCUGCUUGUUUCAUGGUACUGGUUGGUGUGACAGAGCAUUGAUUACAGAGUCGAAAGAACUUCAAAAUCUUCUUCAAAGUUGCAUUAUCUGUUAAUAGGUUGCUUGUAGUUAGUACAAAAUUUUGGGUUUCCAUGGGGAAUUUUUUUCGUGGUCAGAAUACUUGUACUGCUCUAUAUUAUUAGAAAAAAAGAUAUAGAAAUUAAAAAGAUAAAACAGAGUAAUAAUCUAGGCAGAAGUAUAAUGCAUUGUGAUUUUUAUACUUUUAAUAUGAGCAAAAGAUUUCUGUUUAAGUUAAAAAGAAAAAAAGUUAAAUGAUUGCAUUAUCAAUUAAAUGUGAUAGUUUGGAUUAAACUGUGAUGAGUGAAUUAAUCCAUCACAUGAAUUAUUGAUAUGAAUUCGAAUCGUAUUACUCUAUUUUUAAUAUUAUAUAAAAAAAUUAUCAUUAAAUAAUAAAAUAAUAACAUCGACUCAAAAAAUUAAUAGUUAAUUUGGUCUUAUAGUUCUAUAACUAAAAUAUUAGUUUUUUAUAAAAUAAAAAUCAAAUCCAUAACAUCGUUUACUAUUGCUAUUAUAAACUUACCAUAAAAAAUGAAAAUAAUAUGAAUUUUCAAAAUCUCAUGAAAAGAGAAAUAACGAUAAAAUGAACAAUCAUCAAGUAGUUGGUUGUAAUAAUAAGACAUAUUGUAUUUUUAAAGGGAGAAUCUAAAUUUGAAUCUUAGAAACAACAUUAUUAAGAGAAAUAAUCACGAAUUCUGAACAUAAAUUAUAAUACGAAAAAAAAAAUCAACAAAAGCCGCAACCAAAAUCUCACCCAUCGAGUCCAAAAGUCUUGAUUUUUUAUUAAAUAAUUUUAUCCAAAUUUCCUUCCAUAUUAAACAAACCUUCUUUUAGAAAAAUAAUUUGUCCUUUUGAUAAGUUUAAACCUAAAUGUAACACCCCUCACCCGUAUUCAACAUCAGAAUAGGGUACAAGGCAUUACCAGAACACAUACACUGUAAACGUAUUGAACCGAGUUAUAAAAUUUCAUUAAUAAUUAAAACUUUCAAAUUAUUAACAUGCUUUUAUAAUUCUUCACAAUAUAUACAAUGUAACAUUUCCUGCCAACCACAAUCUCAAAUAAUAAAUUUUCUCAGUCGAGCUCAAUAUCAGAUGUCAACUUAUAUUUCAACAUUUAGCUUCGAUUGUACUACAAAUACUUGUCAAAUUAAGGAUCGUCUUACGGAUUUGAGUACAUCGUUUGCCCGGUGCCACGAUUUGCUUGAAUAUUUUACAUUGCUAUAACUCAGUAUGGUUUUCUUCAUGGAAAUACCAUACCUACUUUUCACAACUCAGUAUGGUUUUCUUCACUGAAACACCAUACCUACUUUUCACAACUCAGUAUGGUUUUCUUCACUGAAACACCAUACUUACUUUUCACAACUCAGUAUGGUUUCUUUAUCGAAAUAACAUACUUACUUUUCACAACUCAGUAUGAUUUUCUUUAUCGAAAUACCAUACCUAUUUUUCACAACUCAGUAUGGUUUUCUUCACUGAAAUACCAUACCUACGUUUCACACUUUGCCAUGGAUCCACCAUGGACUUAUCCGUCAAUUCAUCACUGGUUACCGAACGUAUGUACUCAAUCCUGCGUAUCCCUUAAUUUGAACUAACAAUCUCAUCUUAUUCUCAUUUUUACCAUAAUCAUAAUUCAACAACAAUAUACGAAUUGAUACAUUAUAUCAUUCCCACAUUAACAAUUAAUCAUAAAAGUUCAGCCAUAUGAACUUACUAUUUCAUUACCUUUCCACACCCGUUUCCUAUGCAUAUCACACAAGACAUAAACAUAUCGUUCAACCAUAGUCGCAAGCUAGUGCAUUGAAACAUAAUUCUUUUUGGAAAUAAUCACAUAAUAAACCAUUUCGCUAAAGAUUUCAUAAUUUAAACCUUACCACCCCUUUCAUGAUCACAAUAUUUAUUCAUGUAUCAAACUUACCAACAUGUGUUAAUUCAAUACCCAUUCAUGACAUUACUUCAUGCCAAAUCAUAUACCAAAUAUACCAUACACACGUACUAUGAACUUUAUUUUCCCACAUGAGCUUAAACCAUGACCAAUACUGCACAAAUAUAUGCAUCAUUUCUAUUUCAUCGUCUAUCAAUUAUAAUCGAGCGUAUUACCAAUUACACACAAAUCAUUCAUAUAUUUUCCAAUUUUUCCUCCACCUCCUCUCCAUUCCUCAUCCUUAAUGUGUAUAACACAUUUAAUCAACAUUAUCCAUACUAUCACUAUUUUCCUUUAUGUAAAUUCAAGCAGUCUGUCUAAGUUAGAGUCACUAAUUUAUUUAUAUCUCGAGCUACAGAGCUCCAAAUUAAGAUAUGUUAAUUUUCCCUAAAACUAGACUCAUAUAUCUUCUUACCAUAAAAUUUUCAGAAUUUUUGGUUCAGCCAAUAAGUACAGUUGAUUCUCUAAAUUUUCCCUGUUUCACUAUUAGACAGUUCCGACCCCUCUUCACUAAAAAUUAAUUAUCUCUUUGUAUAGAAUUUGGAUGAUGUCCCCGUUUGUUUCUAUUGAAAAUAUACUCAUUAAGGAUUUUAAAUAUAUAAAUUAUAACCUAUAAUUAUUUUUAUAAAAUUUUUAUUUAUUUUUCCAAGUCAAAAUAGGGGAACCCAAAUUCAUUCUGACCUUGUCUCACAAAAUUCAUUAUAUCUCAUUAUUUACAAUUCCAUUACUUACACCGUUUCCUCUAUGAGAAACUAGACUCAAUAAGUUUUAAUUCCAUAUUGUUUUUCAUCCUCUAAUUCAAUUUUCACGAUUUAUGGUGAUUUUUUCAAAGUUAACCUACUGCUGCUGUCCAAAACUGUUUUAGUAUAAAAUGUUGAUAACUAAAUUUAUAACAUCUUUCUUUCCUUUCUCUUCAAUAUUUUCCAUCACUUUCUCUUAUUUCCCUUUACUAACAUAACAAGAAUAUAGAACCUUAUAUGAUGAAACUCUACAUUAACAUUAAUUUCCUACUUUUUCAAUAAUAUCAAACUCAAAAGUAUAUUGGAAUCUUGAUGUUCUUACCUUGUGCUAUUGAUUUCCAUCUUUAACUUAAUUUUCUCUCUCCUCCAACUUCUAUUUCUUGAAUCUAACUUGAUAUUCUAGCUCCCCAUAGUCUCCUUAACAUUUUUCUCUCUUGGUAGCUGUGGAAAUUCUUUUGAUUUCUAGGUGAAAAUGGUAAAUUUUGGUAGAAGGACCAAAUUGUAAAGAAAGUAAAACUUUCUUUCUUCUCUUCUCUUCUAACGUGAAAUGCAUAGGAAAGGAAGAUGAUUCUUCAUCUUUUCUUCCCUAUAUAUAUAUACUAAAUAAAAUAAUGAUAAAAUGUCAUUUAAAAAUCAAAUUAAAAUACUAAUAAACUAAUAUUUAUUUAAUCUAAAAUAUCUCCAACAUCAUCAUUAUUUUCUAGAUUUCUCUUUUUUCUAAUUGACCAUUUUUCCCUUUAGAUCUUUUAAAAUUCCAUCCUUGAGUCAUCACUUAAUUUGGUAAAAUUAUGAUUUAGUCCUUCAUAAUUCUUCAUCUAUUCAAUUUGGUCCCAAUUCAUCCAUUUUCCUUAGUUUCUAGAUUAUUCCACCCUUAAAAUAUUUGCACUAUUGGUCCUCCAACUUUUUGAUAUUUACACUUUAACCCCUCAAAUUUUGAGUAUUUACUCUUGGAUAACAAAACUUUUCUCACUUUUGCAAUUUAAUCAUUUCUUUAAUUAAUAUGUCAUAAUAUACUUCCCAAUGUUGUCAUAACUCAAAAUUCUCCUUUUUUCCACUUUAUUUCCUUACUAUAUCAAAGAUAAUAUCUUACUGUAAAAAUUUUCGGGGUAUUACAUAUCAAUUUAGACUUUUUAAAUAAAUUGAGUGUUCAAACGUCGAAAUUUUCGAACGAAAUUUUCACGAAAUCAUUCCAUGAAAUUGUAAACCAUAAAAAUAAAAUUUUUCUCGUCGGAUUUGUAAUCCCGAAACCAUUGUUCCGACUAGACCCAAAAAUCGGGCUGUUACACUAAAUUUGGUCUAACCAACUACAGCCAUUACAUCUAAUUGACUGUAUUGGGUUUUCCAAAAAAAAAUUAAAAUUAAAUUCUAGUUAUAUUAUUUUACUCGAAAAUGUUGUGGUGUGUUUGACAAAUUAUCAAAAAAUUUUAUUUUAUUAAAAAAUUUUAAUAUAUAAAUUUUUAAAUGUGUUUGAUUAUCAUAAUAGAUUUUUAUUUAAUUCAAAAUUUUCAAAAAAAAAUUAUCACUUGAUGAAAAAAUUAAAUUAAAUUUAUGUUUUAAAAACCAUAUACUGUAACAGCCCGAUUUUGGGGCUAGAUGGAACAGUGGUUUCGGGACCACAAAUUCGACAAGGAAAAAUUUAUUUUAAAAUUAUGACAUGGGUUGCAUUAUGAUAAGAAGGUUGUAUGAAAAUACUGAUAUGGUAAAAUAAGAAAAUAUAGUGAUAAAACGGGUAAUUGAGUUAUGUCAACAUUGGAAAGUAUAUUUAUGACAUAUUAAUCCAAGAAAGGAUUAAAUUGCAAAAGUGAGAAAAGUUUUGUUGCCCAAGAGUAAAUACUCAAAAUUUGAGGGGUUAAAGUGUAAAUAUGAAAAGUUGAAGGACCAAUAGUGUAAAUAUUUUAAGGGUGGAAUAAUCUAGAAACUAAGAAAAAUGGAUGGAUUAGGACCAAAUUGAAAAAGGUGAAGAAGUUUGAGGGACUAAAUCACAAUUUUACCAAAUUAAGUGAUGACUCAAGGAUGGAAUUUUAAAAGAUCAUAAAGGGCAAAAAUGAUCAAUUAGAAGAGAGAAAUCUAGAAGAUAAUGAUGAUGUUGGAGAUAUUUUAGAUUAAUAAAUAAAUAUUAGUUUAUUAAUAUUUUAAUUUGAUUUUUUAAUGAUAUUAUUUUAUUAUUAAUUUAUUUAGUAUAUAUAUAUGUGGAAAGAAGGAUGAAAAGUAUCCAUCCAUUCCCACCAUUUUUGCAUGCAUUAACGUGAGAAGAAGAGGGGAAGAAAGAAAGCUUUUGCUUUCUUUACAAUUUGGUCCUUUCACCAAAAAUCCACCAUUUUCACUUAGAAAUCAAAAGAAUUUCCAUAUCCAUCAAGAGAGAAAGAUAACAAGGAGACUAUGGAGAGCUAUAAUAUCAAGUUAGAUUCAAGAAAUAGAAGCUGGAGGAGGGAGAAAAUCAAGUUAAAGAUUGAAAUCAAUGGCAUAAGGUAAGAACAUCAAGAUUUUUAUAUACUUUUGAGUUUGAUAUUAUUGAAAAAGUAGGAAAUUAAUGUUAAGGUAAAGUUUCAUUAUAUAAGGUUCUAUAUUCUUGUGAUGUUAGUAAAGGGAAAUAAGAGAAAGUGAUGGGAAAUACUGAAGAGAAAGGAAAGGAAAGUGUUAUAAAUUUAGUAAUCACCAUUUUGCACUAAAACAGUUUUGGACAGCAGCAGUAGGUUAAAUUUAAAAAAUCACCAUAAAUCGUGGAAAUCGAAUUAGAGGAUGAGAAAAAUAUGGAAUUAAAUAUUAUUGAGUCUAGUUUCUCAUAGAAGAAAUGGUGUAAGUAAUGGAAUUGUAAAUAAUGAGAUAUAAUGAAUUUUGUGAGACUAGGUCAGAAUGAAUUUGGGUUCCCCUAUACUGACUUUGGAAAAUCAUCAAAAAUUGGAGAAAAAUAAUCAGAGGCUUAAAUUUAUAUUUUGAAAUCCUUGAUGAGUAUAUUUUCAAUAGAAACAAACAAUAACAUCAUUUGAAUUCUGUAUGAGGGAAUAAUAAAAUUUUAGUGAAGAAGGGUCGAAACUGUCAGACAGCAGAACAGGGAUGACUUUAAAGAAUAAACUGUACUUAUUGGAUAAACUAAAAAUUCUUAAAAUUUUAUGGUAAGAAUAUAUGUGAGUCUAGUUUUAUAGAAAAUUAACGGAUCUCAAUUUUGAGUUCUGUAGCUCAAGAUAUAAAUAAUUUAGUGACUAUGACUCAAGUGGACAGCUUUGAAUGAAUAUAAAUAAAUGUGAAAUUAUAGAUAAUGUUACAUAUAAGCAUGUUAUAUAUAUUAAGGAUGUGGAAUGGAGAGGAGGAGGAGGAAAAUAUAUGAUUAUUCAACUAGUAUGAGUUUUUAUUAAAAAUGACCAAUUUAUAUGUUUCAGGGACUAAAUUGAACAAAAGUGAAAAUUUAAGGGUAAAUUUGUAAAAAUGUCAAAAAGUGACCAAAUUGUAUAAAAUGAAUUGUUUUAUUAUUUAAAGUAUUAAAUUGAAUAAAAUUUUAAUUUAGAUCAAGAUUGGGUGGAAAUUCGAGAAAAAUAGAAAAUUUCUAAAAUGUUCUUAAAUUUUGGUAUUUCUGUAAUUUAGCCUGGUAAGUUCGUAUGAACUAUAUUCUGUAUAAUUUUAAUUAAAGUGAAUGUUAUUUGAUGAUGAAUAUUAUAUAGAUAUGUGUUUUAUUAUUGAAAUUGAAUUAUUAUUGGUAAUAUGUACAAUUAUUAGAUGCAGUGAGAUGAUUAUCGGAAGCUCGAUUGUGGUUGGUAGGAAAUGUUGCAUUAUUUAUAUUGUGAAGAAUUAUAAAAACAUGUUAAUAAUUUGAAAUUUUUAAUAAUUAAUGGAAUUUUAUAACUCGGUUCAAUACGUUUACAAGUGUAUGUGUUCUGGUAAUGCCUUAUACCCUAUUCCGGUGUCGAAUAUGGGUAAGGGGUGUUACAUAUACAAAAUAAAUCAUCCUUUUUUCAAUUUUAGUUAAAAUGAAACAUUUAAAUUUUUAUUUUUAUUUUUAUUCAAAACAAUACAAAACAAUAUAAAAUAUUUUAUUAAUAAAAAUAAAAUUGUGAAAUAAGUCAUCUUCAACAAUCAUGAAUUAUUAUUAUCAAACUAACAUAUAUUAUGUACUUGAUUUUUACUAACAACAAAUUAGGUGAAACUAAACUUAAAAUAUAUAAUUUAAUUCAACAUAAAUUUAUUAUUAAAACUGAUGAUAUUUAAAAUUAAAUCAUCUUACUUUUCUUAUUUAAAAAUCACAGUUCAAUACAUUAUUAAUAUUUUCAUCAAAUUUUGUCAAAUUGAUAAGUUAAUUAAGUUGCCCUUAUGCACAGGAGUGAAGCUAAAUGUUUUUUUUUUUUUACAGACCGGAAUUAAAUUGUAUAUUUUUAUGAUAGUAAAAAUAUAAUUUCAUCAUUUUAAUAACCUAUAUCUUUAUAAUUUUUAAAAAAUUUAAUUUAAUUUUUAUCAUUUUUUAGAGGGGAUCCAAAGCCCUUGCAACCCCCCUUACUUCGCCACUACUUAUGCAAUAAAAUAUAUCAUGUCAUACAAAGGGUAGUCUAAUCAACCAAGAUUGCAAAUUUAAUUAAAAAUACUAAUAGUGCCAACGAUUGAAUUAAAUUUUUUAAAUUAAAAAAAUUAAAAUACAAAAUUACACUUCAAAGAGUUAAUGUAUAUUUUGGCCUUUAAACUUGAUAAUUUUUAUCUAUAUGGUAUCUAUACUUUUUUUAGACCUAACUAGUACUUGAAUUUCAAAAUCGUUAAUCAAAUUGAUACUUUGUUUAGGUACAUGUUUGACACUGUUAACUUUUAUACUUACAAACAGUAAAUUAGUCUGUCUUAAAAAUAUUUUUGAAGAAAUUAAAAAAUUAUAAAUUUUUGAAUUAUUAUUUUUUUUAUUUCACAUGCUCAAUGAACUUUUCAAAUAAAGCUGAAUGUACAUUUUGUCCAAUUUUUUAUAGUAAUUUUAUAUAUGUUUUAAAUUGUUAAAAAAUGAUAUUAUUAGAAAAUUUGAGAUUUUUAUAUUAUGUCAGGUAUUUUAGAAUUUUUUUUUCAAAUUUUUGGAUUUUCUAAUAUUUUUAGUUUUUUCUUUUAUUGAAUUUUUAUAUUUUGUAUUAUUUUUUUACUUUUAUAUUGUUAUAUUUUUAUAUUCUUAUAUAUCUUUAAAGAUAUUUUAGAUUUUUAUUUUUAUGUUUCCCAGUAAUGCUUACCACACCCCUAAUUUAUGGCUGCUACAUAACAUUAUACUAUUAAUUAUCAGUGUUAAAUUAUUUAAAAAAUCGAUGGAGUUGAUUAGGUACUAAUAAAAAGUACUAAUUUUAUUCAGUGAUUUAUCAACUAAUUAUAAGACUAAAAUAUUAAAUGAAAUUAUUUGGUGCAUUGUCAGUGAAAUUUUCAAAUUCCACAAAUAAAGUUAAGCGUUUGAGAAAUAUCUUAUAAUAAUAUAUUAAAAAACCAAAUAUUUACUAAUUUUUUAAAAUUACAUGUGGAAUAAAAAAUUACACUACAGAUAUAUCAAAUAUUAACUUAAUUAAAAAAUCUAAAUAUUGACCGCAUACAUUGAGUAAAAAGAAAUUUAUGGGGGUACUCCUUUUUUAAUUUAUUGAACUCAUCACAAUAUCUAAAUUCCAAAUAAUAAUAACUGAUCACAAAAUGAGACAAAAAUAGGAGUCGGAUCUUUGUGUUACAUUUAUAAAAGCGAGUGUGUCAAAAGCAACCAUAGAUCAUGAAAAAUUGGUUUUGACCAGUUUUAAUUAAUUUCGUUACUGUUGAUUUCUGAUGCAAUGUGAACAUUGGAAAGUGAAUUUAACAAAAUUAUACCAGCAAGAAGAGUCACCAUCGCAGCCACAGCGGGUAUCGACGUCGGAGGUCAGCCAGUGAGGGUGCCAUCCCCAUCCCCACAAUCCCAAUUGUCGUCUCAGCUAGAGACUUUACGUGCCGUCCAGAAUCAUUUGCAGUGGCAAAAUGCGGUGAUAGAAUUUUGCUUUUCAUAUGCACUGGGGGUGUCCCUCCAAUAUGCGACACCCCUUCAGUCCAGCCAUGAGCUCCCAUUUCCCAUGGUAUUGCUUUCGUUCCUUGUCCUACUUACCUUCAUUUUGAUAUUGGGGGUUUUCAUUAUCAACCCAUAUUGCACCACAACUUCAAAAGCAUUGCAGAAAAUUGCUCUCAUCCUCACAGCAGCUGCAUUCACCCACACAGUUUCGAUUCCCUUGUCGUUAGAGCUCAAGUGCGCCAUCUGGGCUGUGUUUUUGUCCUCUCCUUUCUCAUUGUUAUCAUCUUCAAGUACUUGAAUACGGAGACCGCCGCCUGAUUAGUAUGCUAUAAUAUUUGAAUAUCCAGAGGCAUAAGUUGCAUUUCAUCCAAAAAUCAUCGCAGUUUAGAAUAGCUAAAAUUAUCUCCAAUUUGAGCUAAAUCGUAGUUCCUCCGAUAGACCAGUUUUCCUACUUGAAAUCAAAUGCUCCUAAACCAGCUUUUUCCAUUAUUUGUAAGCAUGCAAUGUAACAGUUCCAUUGACAUACAUUCAGACAUACACAAUCUAGUUAUAGAGUCGAAUUUUGAGAAUUUUAAAUUUUGGGGUAUCGACUUUUCUCUUCAUAAUGAUAUCCAUAUUGUUACAGGAGAAUAGAUGUCACCAUCCGAAAAAGUACCACAAAAUCCUCUAUAUUAUAUCUUUGAUUGCAUUUUAAUCCUUAUAAUGAAAAAAUAGACAAACUUGUACUUAAAUGAUGGAGCAAAAUAGGCCCUCCGUUAAAAUUUAUUGAUUAUAUAUAAGUUAUAAUAACAAAUUUAGCUUUUAACCUUUAAACAUUUAUUCAAUUUGACCCUAAAUCUUUUGUUGAAAGUAAAUUAGAAAAUUUUUAAACUAAUAAGGUUAAAGGGUCAAAAAUGCAGAAACAAAUUAAAAAAAUUCAACUAAUCCCUUUUAAAUUUUAAAAAUUAUUAAAAAUCAUAAAAAUUAUAAACAAAAUUUAUAAAAAAAAGUUAUAAAAAUUUUAUAAAAUUAUUAUUUUUCAACUCAAUUAUAAAAUUAUUCAAAAUUUUAUUAUUUUUAUAAAAUAACAAAUAUUAUUUUGACAUGUUUUUAUUUUAUAUUUUUAUACAAAAUCUAAAAAAAUACAUAUGUAUGAAUAUAUUUAAGUAUAAAACAUCAUACUCUGUAAUAUCUUAUAUUUACUAUUUCAGCCAAAUUCUCAUUUAAUUUUUUAUAUUAUUUUUUAUAAAUUUAUUAUAUAAAUUAUUUAUUUUAAUAAUCUAAACAAUAAAUAAAAAUUAAUAAUAAAACACCUAUAAUGAAAUAAAUUUUAAUAAAAACUCAAAAAAUUGAUGAAGGUCUACUCUCAAUUUGAAACUUACAUUUUUUAAUCCAAUCCCUUGGAUGUCCUUUUUAGAUGAGCGUUUACUUUCAGUACGGUGCGUUUAGUUUUUUUUUUGUCUCACACUACAAUAUUGCUACAGUAUUUAAUCUCACCAUCAUCGUUGUUUUUACACUAGCCGUAGGUAAACAACCGCUAAUCGAGUGGGGGCUUGUUUUUACUUGGCUUAAUACAUAAUUUAGUACUUGAGGUUAACCUUUUUUUUCUAAUGUGGUACCUAUAUGUUUUUUUGUCUAAUAUGAUACUUGUAUUUGACACAAAAUAUACAUUUUGGUACUUGAAAACUAAGAUGUUAACUUUUUAGUGUUUAAUUCAGGUUUUAUAGUUAAUUUGAUGAAAAUUCAUAAUUAUCUAAUAAUAUUAUAAAUUAACUUACAUUAAAUCAACCCUUAAAACUCAAAUUAAAUCGUAUCUAUCGGACUAUAUUUGACAAAUUAAGUGCAAAUUAAACAAAUUCACUAUUAACACUAAAUUUAUUCUAUUAACAAAAUCAUGGAAAAUUCAAACAUAAUAAUAUUGGCAAUUUACUUUUAUCAAGUCAAUCCUAAAACUUAGAUUAAACACUUAAAAGUUAACAUCGCUAUCUUUAAAUACCCAAAUAUAUAGCUUUUGUCAAAUAUAAGUACCAUAUUGAACCAAAAUAUAACACACGUACCAGAUUAAAAAAAUAUUAAAUUUAAGUACAAAAUGAUAUAUUCAGCCUUUUUAAUUUUGUUGACUUCCACAACCAAUAGACAACAUCGAUCACGGUUGGCCAGUUGCAUUGUCGGAAUGUGAGUUUUUAACUCAUGAAAUCAUCCCCUAAAAACACAACUUAUUGGGCAUAAUCAUAUUUUUAGGGUAAAUUAUAUCACUAGUCACUAAAUUAUGGGUAAGAUUUUGUUUUGGUCCCUUAACUAAAAAAAAGUUACAAUUUGAUCUCUAAGCUAUUCGAAAGUUUUCAUUUAAGUCACCUGACUAUUAAAAUCAAUGUUAUAUGGCUUUUUCAAUCCGCAUUGCCUACGUUAAUCAAAAGUUCUCUUUGAAAUUUUUUUUAUGUAGAGAGUGAUAGCUUUGAUUGUUCAUUGUUCAAGAAUUCUUGUUUAGGUAGUUAAUACCAUCCAUACAUAGAAUUUUGAUCUAAGAUUUCAAUUCUUUCAUGUUUCAGUAGUGGCAUAUUGUUCCAUGGAGCUAAGGUCCAAAAUAUUGAAGAAACAUGUGUUUCCACAACUCUACCACCAAAUUAUUUUUCGUUCCACUUAAUCCCUUUUCUUCUACAAAUUUUUUUUAUGAAAUAACUUUAGACGUCUCAAAUCUACGAACCAAAAUUCAAAUAGCUUUUCUCUCCGAUCUUCGACACCGACCUUCAAAUCAACUUAAAUCUAAGGUAUGUUUUUCUACUCAUCGAUGGGUACUGAUCCACUGUACCAAUCGUCAAAUCAUUGCUUGGAACUCAUUUGCCGAACUUUAAAAAAGAAAAGAAAAAAACUUGAUAGCCCAAUGACAUAAAUAAACACUUUUGAAUAGUUCAAUGAGUUAAAUAAAACCUUUCAAAUAAUCCACUGACCAAAUUGUAACUUUUUUAAAUUAAGUGACAAAAAAAAAACCUUACCUAUAGUUUAUUGACUAAUGGUAUAGUUUACCCUUUUUUAAAUAGGGUAAAAAAUAUUUUUGAAAAGUGUCAUAAAAACAUGAUUUAAAAUUUUAAUUAUUUAGCAUUACAGUUAAAAUAUAAAAAGAAAUUAAAAUAUUUAUUUUAAAUAUGAUUUUAUAAAGCAAAAAAUAAAUUAAUUUAAAUUAUAUUCAAAUUUAUUAAUAAUAUGAUAUAAGAUAAACUACAAGUUUAAUUACUCUUAAAUUAUGUUUUGAUCGCUAAACUUUAAAAAUAUAUAUAAUUAUCAACUUGGUCAUUGACAUAUUUCUUUCUUUUUUUCUUGGAGGUCUGUAUAAAAAUUUAGAUUGUUUCAUUGUUGCCCUUUAUUUUUGGAUAAAAAAAUAUUUGAUUCUUCAACUUGAAUUUUUUUUUGGUUAAUAAUAAUCAUUCAACUUGAAUUUCGUGAAAUAAGUUAUUUUUUAACACUAUUAUUAAUAAUCUCACAAAUUCAAUCAAUAAUUUAAAAAAAUUAUAUUUUUAUUGCCCAAAAUAUGUUAAGAUUAAUUCAAAAUUUAAAUUCAAUCUCAUAAUAAAAUUAUUUUAUAUACUGUUAGUGAAGUUUUCUAGACUUUACAAACUGGUUAAAGGUUUGACAAGUGUAUUAUAAGAUGUAGUAAAACAAUUAAUUAUAUGAAUAAAUUCACCACUUUUCACACUCUCAAACCGUGAGAAAAACUCUAUUGACAGUGUAUCAAAUAAUUACCCUUUAAAAUAUAUUUGAAAACAAAGUGAAGUAUUAUUACAACCAAAGAUAAGAAAAGGCUUUUAAGUGUUUACUGCACAUUUAUUGGGCCUAAACCCAGUUCAGAAAAAGAGCCCAACACAAAUCUGAGCAUCGGUUAAACGGUUUUGAAAAGUGGAUCAACUAUAUUUGAUAUUUUAUCUUUGGCAUAAUUUCAAAUUUAGCACUCAAAGGUUUUUUUUUUUAUCAAUUUGAUUAUUAUUCUCUUUUAAACUAAAAUGUUAAUUUUUUAACCAUGUUGGUAUGGCUACCCAUGUGAUAAUUCAUGUGUAUUUCAUGUUGACAUGACCCCAUCUAUCUUAUAUGUCACACAUCAACAAAUAAUGUAAAAGAAUGAAAAGUUCUUAAAGAUUCAAAAAAAUUAACAUGAAAUAUAUGUGAAUUGACAUACGGAUUCUCAUGUUUAAAACUUUAACAUUUUAGUUAGUAUUUUCAUUAAAAAAACAAUAAUUUGACUCUUGUUAAAAAGUUGAUGGUCAAAUUCGACUCGUUUUUAAAAGUUGAAUGUGAAAUUUAACUCAAAAAAUAAUAAAACUAAAUUGAUAUUAUGCCCUUUUUUCUUUCUAGGAUCAUUUGAAAUCGGAUCGAAUAAAAUAAUUCAAUCAAGAUCCGAGGUGGUCCAAACACUGUAAUAUAAUCGGAAAUAUGAAUUUUGGGUUUCAACAAAUUAUGCUUCACUGAUCAGCACCAUUUUUUUUUUUAUAAAUACCUUUUAAUAUUUAUGUUUUUUUAAUAACUUUAUUUUUUUGUUAUUUUUAUUUAUAAAUUUUAAUUUUAAUUUUAUAUUUUUUUUGAAAAAAAUUAGAAUCUAAAAUAAAUUAAUAAAAUGCGUAAAUAUUAAAAGACUAAAUUUAUUAUUAUGUCCAAUAGAAAAAGCUAUGUAAGCGUUCCGUUAAUUAUUUAAUGGCAACCAUAAAAAUCAAAUAUUUUUAUAGUUAUAUGAUCAAAAUAAAAAUACUUUUAUAAUUGAGUACUAUCCGAAAGAAAAUCGGAAAGAUUGAAAAUUAAAAGGUAAAAAAGAAAAAAAAUCUUUUCUUUGGCACAUUUGGUAAGAAACAUGAAAAAAUUAAAGCUGAAAAAUUAGAGAAAUGAAAAUAAAAAUAUUAAAAACUACUUCUUCUUCUUUUUACGAUUUGAUUUACGCUUUCUCAUUUUCUCUCUUUUAUUAUUAGAGAUCAGAACGAUUAAAAAAUGGAAAUUUUUGCUAUUUUCUCCUGUCACUUAUUGAACACAUUUAAAAUUCAUUUUCUUUCCUAUUUUUCACUCCACUCGCUAUGUAUAAACAAUUUUAUCUCCAUGCAUUAAAUAUAAUUUAUUGAGUAAACUAUCUAGAUAGCCUUCCAAGUUUUAAGGCCUUUUUGUUUUGGUCGCCCAAUUAUUUAGUUAUUUUAGUCACUCUUAUUAGAUCAAUUACACUCCAUCUCUUGGUAAUCAGAUAUAAUGUUGGUACAAUAACAAAUUACGCACUCAACAUUUACUCAUUUUUAUUAAUUUAAUCUUGAUUUUAUAAAAAAUUAUAAAUUUACCUUUCAAUAUUUAUAUACUUUUAUUAAAUUGAUCUUGACUAUAAACAUUAGAAUAGUUUAUCAAUAAAAAAUUCUAACUUUUUUAAAAUUAAAUAUAAAAUUUUCAAAUUUCAAAUUAAUUGGUUUUAUUUAAUCGAGUUAUUUUAAUUUUAAAAUUAACUUAAUUAAGUCAUUUGAAUUGAAGUGAAAGUUUGAUUUUUACAAUUCUAAUAUCUGAAAAUUCUAAUAACAAAAUUAUGUCGUUUUUUGGUUUAAGCAUUUUUUUUAAAUCUAUAAUACCCAUUUAAGUUCCCAUCAAUUUUGAAAAUAAGUGAAUUCUAUUUGUUUUUUAAUUUUUAAUUUUUAAACUCAACCAAUCAAAGUUGUAAAAUAAUAUAGUAUUAAAAAUUUAAAAUCUUAAAAAUAAUAAAAUAAUAAAAUUAUAAAAUUAUAAAAAUUCAAAAAUAAUGAAUUUAAAAUAAUAUUUUUAUUUAAAAUAAUAAAUAAUAAAUAAUAAAUUCUCUAAAGGUUUUGAAAAAAUUACAAAAUAAUCUUUAAAUUCCAAAUACUCAUUAAAAUUUCUAAAAAAAUAGAAUGAUAAAAUAUUGAAAAAGUUUUAAAAAUCUAAAAUUAUUUUCUCUCAUUUUGCUUUUAAAAAAGUUUUCAAAUAAAUGAUGAACAAGUUUUAAUUAGGCUUGCUUAAUUUUUUUUAAUUUAACUUGAAUAAUUUUAUGUUGAUUGCGUAUUAGUUCAAUAGGCAUUAUUGCUAUUGCACAAUUAAAAUAAUAUGUGUUCAAACACGUUGAACUGUGUUUUUCCUUCAAUUUAGAUGUGUGGAGGGAUUAUGGGUAAAAGUAAGCUCCUUUCAUUAAAAAAAACUUGAACAAAAUUAUUUUAUUCAACUAGACUCAAGUUCCAUUUCAUUAAGCUAUAUUUUCAAAAUAUUCACAUUGAUUUUUAUUGAUAAAAUAAGGUUGAUCAACUCUAUUAACUCAAAAAAUAUUUCAAGUGAUUCGAUAUCCCUCACACUCAAUGUAAUGCCUUUCACUCUGCUCCGUCAACACUUUAUCAUAUUGCCAAAAGUAGAAUUUUUGGUUUCUUCGCAAGCUAUGAAUUCUCAUAAAUGGCAUAGUACAAAGAGAAAUAAAUUGUGUAUUUGAUGUUCUAUCCACAAACACGAUGAAAAAGAUAAUCGGACCACCUCCCUUAAGUGCUAGUGCUAGCAUACAAGAAGGAGCAAAGCAGCUCAAAUGAAUGUGAGCGGAGCGAAGAAAGUAAAUUGCGAGAGAAGCGAAAUACACCGAAAAGCAAUUAGCUUCUUUGGUUUUGAUUAUGAGGUGACAAUCACAACUUACAUGCAACAAUAUUUAUAACCUUGAUUUAAUAGCUUAAUUUCAUAUUUUUAAGAAUUAGAGAAUAAAUACUAUAUACCAUAUUAAUGAAUUUGUUUAAUGACAUGUUUAACAUUGCAGAGGGAGGCAAACUUUUUUAGGAGAAUCUUUGAAGUGUCGUCUGUCAAGAGCUAACAAACUCUUCAACGGGUCAGUAUUGUCUCCAAUUAAAAUUUUAUCUCCUGACUCUACAAAAAGCUUAAAGUUACCUGAAGAAACGAUGAGUUCACAAAGCGAGAAUGACUCGUCGAAAAAGAUCAUAUGUGGUACAUAACAAUCUACUAAAGAAAUGUGGAUAUUCACUUGGUAGUGUUUAACCCAACAAUGCAAAAACUUCCUCAAGGCCUUAGACAAGGUCAUAUAACAUUCCAUUUAACCAACUUUUGGGACAAUCUCAUCAACAUUUCACCUCACCAAAUACUACAUGACUAAGGACACAUAACCCUUACACAUCCCACACUUGUCCCAUACGACUUUAUGAGCCAUAUAAGGCUCUCUUUAUCACCCAAGUAGGGGGAUAGACUCGUUAAGACAAAAAGAAAAGGGCUCCUCUCUUUCUUUGAAAAAACCAUUUAUAGCUCUCAUACUUAGAGAACACCUUCAACCUUUAAUCACUUACGUAACUCUUAAUUUUCCGACGAACUAUCAUCAACCGCUAAAUUCAUAUUUUCUCAUCAAUAGAUAUAUAUCUACUCAUAUUUAAAAUAUUUAUUAUAGCAUAGAGGCACAAAUAAAUAUGAAAUACAAUAUAUAAGGAUUGUGAGGUCUAAAGAACAAAUAACUAAAUUCUAAUUGCCAGCGCAAACACUGCUUAAUGCUAAUUGUUGCACCAAUAAUCAUUAAUUAUUUUUGUAAACUCUUUUUUUAAAGAAGGUUCCAGCUAAUUAUUAACUCCUCGCAGCGAUCUUUUGGUCGUCCCUUGUUGUCGGUUCCACUUAAACUGCAUUACAUUCUUUCUUAUAUUACUAAUAUUAUUAUUAGCGGCAUCUAUUCUACACGCGCUAGAUGAACGCGUGAGGAUUUUUGUUACCUCGUCGGUGACAAAUGAUCUUCGUGUAAAUCAAUUUAACAUAUGGGAAAUUUUGGAUUAUUAUCUUCUAUAUUAAUGUAAAAUAUUCAAGUUUAAAAAAAAAUUAAACUGAUAAGAAAUAAUUUUUGUUUUUUAUUAUAAUAUUAAAUGACAUUUAAAAUAAUUAUAAUAAACUAAAAAGACUUGGAAAAGAAAUAUAUUACAAUAGUUAUAUUCAAAAAUUGUGAUAAUUAUAAUAUAAUUUAGAGAAUAGAUUACGAUAAUUAUUCUUGAAAAAAAAUGCUUUUUUUAAUUUUUUUAUUUUCACACUUUUUUUAAAAUAAAUAUUGAAGUUUAAUUGAUUAUCUUAAAAUGUGGUUGUAAUUUAAUACGUUUUCACUUAAUUUUUUUAUUUAUGUAUUCAUUAAUUAUAAAUAAAAAUUUAUAAUAUUAAGAAGACACUAUAAAAAAUAUAUAUUACAAAUUAAUUUAAAAAAUAUAAUUGUGUAAGUAUUCAUUUAAACAUCGAAUAAGUUUAGUAGAAAACAUUCGAAAAUGACUAUUGUACACUGUAUAAUUAAUAGAAAACGACGAUGUUUAUUUUAAUGAACUAAUAUUUUAUGGAAAAAUAAUUUUAAAUUUAUAAAUUAACGACAUAUUUGUAAUAAUAAUUAAAUUUUGAAUAAAUUUAUUAGAAAAAAAUUUUGAAAUAAUAAACAAUUAUUAGAAAGUAUUUAAAAUAAUUUCUACUAAUAAAUUUAAAUUAAAAUAAAUUAAGAAAAUAAUAUCAUAAAAUUAAUUUACUAUUAACAAAAUAAAUCAAGCGGUGAAUGUUUAACAAACAUAAAACAAUUAAUUUCAAAUAUAUUGUUAAAAUUUUCAAUUAAACAAACUUAAUUAAUUUUAAAAAUGGCAUAAUGAUUUAUUUGGCCCUCUAACUUUACAAAAAAGCUAUUUUAGCCCUCCAUUUAAUUUUUUUUACCUUUUUUAACCCUUAAACUUGUAUUUUUUUGUCAAAACACCCCAAAAUUGAUGAAAAAGUUAACAUUUUUUAACUUUACUGACGUGGCAUAAACGUGGAUUGCCAGAUAGAUGACAUGUCAUCAUUUAAUUAUUUUUUAAAAUUUAAAAAAUAUAUUUUUAAAAAAUAUUUUUAAAUUUUUAAAAAAAAUAAUAAUUAAAUGCUGACAUGUCAUCCACGGGCUAAUAUCUUUUUAGUUUUUAAUGAGAGUUAAAAAUAUAAUUUUACCAUUGUAUUGACUUGUAUAUUUGUAGUUUUUAGAAUGACUAAACCAAUAAUUAUCAAUUUUAGGGGACAAACAAUAAUUUUACUAUAUAUUAGCAUAUAAUUUUAGAGAUUUUGGGAGGUCUAAAACAUAAUUUCUCAAUUCAAGGGGCCAAGGCCCCUACUUGCACCUUUAUGCCUUCACCCUCGAUUUUAGGUAAGGUGAGACUUAAACUCGAACACUCAAAAUUGGAGCCUCAACCUUUACCAAUUGUACUAGGACUUCGUUGCCAUAAGAAAAGGAUAAAAUAUGUCGUGAUUCCAUGUACUCUUCAAAAUUUUAGAAUUUAGUCAUUAUACUUUUAUUUUUAGGAAUUUAGUCUGUUUAUUCCAAUUUCAAAAUUCAAGUCCAUCUGUUAACCUUGUUAAAUUCAGGUUAAUUACAAUCAAUUUUUUUAAUUACAUGGCUACUAAGUGAGGAUUUUUUUUAUUUCAUAGUGUCACACCAACAAAUUUAACAAAAAAAAUUAAAAGUAUUAACAAUUAGACUUGAACUUUAAAAUAUAAAAAAAUAAAAGAUUAAAUUCUUAGAAAUAAAAUAAUAUAUACUAAAUUUUAAAAUUUUGAAAAAUACAAAAAUUUAUGACAUAUUUUAAUCAAAAUAAAACAUUACUAUUUUAAAUUAUCUGGAAAAAGCACGAUGGAAUGAGUUAUAAUUGAAAAAUUAAGUGUAACUGCAUCAUCGUUAAUCACAUGUGUUGGUUCCGACUUGAAAAAAAAAAAAAGAAGAGAAGUUUCUAUGACAGUUCUAAUUUUGGAACAAGUUGAUUAAAUCACGCAAGUGUCUUCAAUUAUUGAAUUAAAUAAACAUCACAAUAAAUAAGGAUUAGAGGAAGGAAUCAAAUAAAUGAUUUAUAAAUGCAACGGUUUGUAUGGUAAUUCGUCAAUUUUAUUAUGUUAAAACAAUGUAUAUUAAAUAAUCAGCUGGGUCAAUUAAAUUGAGAAUUAAAAACUUUACUCGUAAGAUAUAAUUAAAAAUAAUCAUUUUGAAAUUAUAUGUUAAUUUGGUGGUUAGAAUCUUUAUUUAAAUUCGAGUCGUAUUGUUAUUAGGGCUUUGCCCUCUCACCCAAAAAGAAAAUCAUUUGAACUAAUAUAAAAUAUUAAAUAUUUUUAUUAUUUUAAAAUUUAUAUGAAAAAUAAUAAUUUUGAAAAAAACCAUUUUUUUAUUUUUGAGGUUUUAUUAAAAAUUUUAAAAUUUCACUAUGUUCCGAUUAAUUUUAUCUUUUAAGCUUUUGUAUAUGUGAACUCUUGUUAGUUUUUAGGAGUACAGGUUAACAUAGGGUAUUUGUGUUUUUAAGAAGGAUUAAUUUUCAUAAAUUGGCCUAAUAAUUAGGGUGUUUACCACUCUAGGUAUGAUCUGGGUUUGAGACGUGUUAGUCACAUUAUUAUUAGGACUUUGUCAUUUUCUUGUAAUUCAUUAAAAUAAAAAUAACUUACAAAAAGGUUAAAAUAUGCUAUUAGUCCUUAUAUUUUUAUAAAAUUUAAGAUUUAAUUCUUAUACCUUGAAAGUUAAAAAUUUAACUAUACAACGUUUUCGAUUUAAAAAUUUUAAUCUAAAAAUUAUAAUAGUUUAUAUUAAAAUUUAUUAAUUUAACAUAUUUAUUUUUUAUCAAUCAUAUAACAUAUUACAUGAGAUAAACUUAAUCAAUAUAAUUUAAAUAAAAAAAUAGUUAUGAUUUAAAUAAUUCAAGUGAAUUUUUUAAAUAAAAUAAUUAUAAUUUUGAACUAAAUCUUUAAUUUUCUCAUAGUCACUAACAGCAUAUUUUGACGUUAAUCAGGUUGGAAAUGAAAAUGCGGUACAAAAUCUCAUAAGAAAAAGACAAAGGCGACCCUCCGAACUAACACGGUGAACACAGUACAAAUUCCUUCGGGAUUGGUGCGUAGUAGAAAAACGAAAGAAACAGCGCGUGGAAAAUGUUUUGUUGAGAAAAUUUGUAGUGAAUUUGAUUUUUCAAUUUUCUGCUCCAGAAGGUGUAUUAGCCCACGUGAGCAUCGAGAUAUACAGCUCAUUGUGAGUAAUUCCAGUCGCAUCACCAUCAUUCGUACAACGCCAUGGAAUACGGGUCCACCACGCAUAUUUUUAUUUUACAACUUGCACAACUCCAAACCAAUACGAACCUCCUCCCCCAGUCCAAUUUCAAUCCGAAAUUCAACGCCAUUGAUCAUGUACUGUAAAAAUUAAUAAUUCCUAUUUCUAUCAAUUUUUCUUUAUCAAUUACAAUAAUUUUUGGGCACGAGUUCCCACUCGAUUUGGUUUAAUUAAUUAAUCAAUAAAAAUAUUUAAUUUUAAAUCUAAAAUAUAUUUAAAAAUUAAUUUUUAAUGCCUUUUGUUAUGAUAUUCAUCAUUACCGACCCGCUAUCUAAUUACCCGAUUGGGUUUCAGCUCAUAGAUUACAUUGUUCACACCCUGAGUUUGUACGUGAGGUGUUCACGUCCUUCAAUGAGCUCACAUGAUGUGGGUUCACACUACUAUGCAGGCAAACUCACACAUAGAAAACAUGUUUUAAUCUUAGAGUAGGAUGUGUUGGCAUACAAGGAGACUUACCUACGACGUCAGAGCCAUGAACAAUAACAGUAUCAUAUACAUAGAGAAUUUAACCCUUUUGAAAGGGAUAUACACACAAUUUGGUGCGGUGAGCAUGGACAGACUUCUGAUCUUUAGAUAAUCAUAAAACCAAGAUGACUCACCCUAAUGAGAAUUUACCUAACAAUUUCCCAUCAGACCAGGCAGGAGGUUCUAGCAUUGAAAAUCAACCUAGUGAAAUGGACCUUUUUGUUGGUUGGUUUGUCGACCGACUAGAAAAUUUGAGCAACUCAGACCAAGUAGGAGCCUCCAAUUCUUUUUAUCUCAAUGCUCAUUCUAGUUAGGGACCGUCAUUUCCCUCUUAUCAGGGAGUAUCUCCACAACAAAUAUUUGUUUUAUAGGAGCAACUGAGGUUGAUGAAGAAACAGAUGACUCAACAAAAUGUUAGGUUUGAACAACAACAAGUGUUUCAACAGGAGCUGCUAAGACAAAACGAAAAGCUGAAGAGAAAGAUGCAAUUUGAUCACUCUAAUUUUUAAGACCAUGUCACACCUUUUAGGGAGAAUGAGAUGGAUGCUUUGCGUAGAGAUGCUCGAGCGUUGCACCUUGAUGUACAAGAUAUGGAUUGGUUGUUUUGUUCUAACAACCUUUUUAUCUCCAGAAAUAGUAGUUGUGAGCUUACCAUCUGAGUUUAAAGUGCUGAAAGAGAUGUUUAAAGGCAUGAUGGCUCUAUAGCCCAUCUCAUGCAGUAUAAUGAUUACAUGAAUGAUUGAUAUUUAUCUUUGUCUCAUGGCUCCAUUCAAAGCUUCUCACAGUUGGGACAGAUAUUUCUGGGAAGAUUUCGAGUCCAUAGGACAAUAACGAGCAUUCUUAUGGGUUUGAUAUUAGUGGAAUAAAGGGAUGGAGAAUCUUUGUAGGAUUAUGUAAAGCGAUUUCAUGCUACCACGUUGAAUGCAAAGAAGUUUGAGGACCAAUAGGCCAUUGAUGCCUUCAUCAUAUGAGUCUAAAAUGAGCACAUGCAAUAUUCCUUCAUUGAUAAUAGGCCACAAAGUUUGUCUGACUUGUAUGAGAGGGCGCAUAAGUUCGUUGAGGCAAAGGAAAUCAAAAAAAAAAACUCGUAACACUUUUCAGAUGGAUGACAUGCACUUUAGGGGUCAUCAUGGUGUACGCAGCCAGUAGGGUCUUCCUUCUCAGAGCCUGCAUAUAGAUGGGGGACAAUAGAGGAAUUAUUUGCAAAAUGAAUCGCCAAGGGUAUUUCAAAUACCUCAGGGCGAGCACACUAGAAGGUAUGUUCUUCAUGAAAAAUUUAAAGCUUAUAUUCCCUUAAAUGCUUCGUGUACCUACAUUCUUAAUCAGGUCAAGAGUUUGAGCAUUUUGCCAAACCUUCCAUAUAUGUGACGUAGUCAGUCAAGAACCAACUUAAGAGACAAAUUUAAUUUUCACAAUGACAUGGGGCACAAUACCAAUGAUUGUUUCUUUUUGAAAGAUGUUAUAAAGAGAGGCAGUUAGAAAUGGCGAGUUAAAAGGUUUUGUGGCUCAAGAUGCCUCGCCAUUAGGUCAGAGUUCAUAGGGCGCUGAUAAAGGUAAACAAAAGGUCAAAAGCACAAUAAAUAUGAUAAUUAGUACAAAUAAAGAGUAGGUGACUUCUAACACGAAGAGAAAGGCUCAUCUUAGACGUGUGAUGUCAAUCAGUUUAUCGAAGAGGCUACUGCGUCAAUAAGAGAAGUGGAAAGUAAAAUUUAAUGAAGAGCAUGAGGAUUCAGUAUGUAAUGAGGAAGAAAAUAACCCUAUGGUCGUAUUAGCAACUAUAACAAGAUUUUGAGGUUAAAAGAAUUUUUGUUGAUAGUGGAAGUGUUGUGGAGGUGUUAACUUAGGACAAAUAUAAGAAGAUGAGGCUGAAAGAGUACGCUUUGAAAAAGGCUAACCCUUUCUAUGGUUUUUCAAACCAUCUAAUCAAAAUGAAAUUGUGUAUUACCUUGCCUAUUACCUUAGGAAAUGGUGAACACACCACCACAAAAUAUGUUUAGUUCUUUAUAGUAGACCAUCCAAUGGCUUACAAUGCCAUUUUUGGGGGUCCUAUUAUGAGAAUUGAUAAAAUGGUGAUUGCCACUUUUUGUAUGAAGAUUAAUUUCCCUACUAGGAUGGGAUAUAUUUCAUGAAAACAACUAGGCAGUAUCAUAUGUUGUCAGUUAAACAAACACGUGAAUAGGAGCCACAGGGCCAGAGUUCACAAUAGGUAAAGGUGGCUAGCCAGGUUUUAAAUUUAGACAGUCUGGAUUUUAAAAGUAAGGAAAGAAUUCGCAAGCCAGAAGCAGCAGAAAUUACAGAAACUUUGCAAUUGUUUUAUGAUAACACGGAUAAGUUGGUAAUAAUCUUAUUAGAAUUAGCAGAAGAAGAAAAUGAGGGCUUAGUCCAGUGCUUGAGGGAGAAUUUAGACAUUUUUGCAUGGUUAGCAUUGAACAUACCAAGUGUAGAUCCUCAAGUGAUUUCCUAUUGGUUAAAUUGGUCCUUCGAGGUUAAACUAGUCAAGCAAAAAAGAAGAAGGUUUGCUCUACAAGUUGUGGAGGCCAUUAAACAAGAGGUAUGCAAGCUACUUUCAACGGGAUUUAUUAGGGAGGUGGCAGACCCGAACUGGAUGUAAAAUGUUGUGAUGAUGAUGAAGACUGAUGGACAAUGGAGAAUGUGCAUUGAUUUUACUAGUUUUAACAAGGUUUGCCCGAAGGAUAGUUUUCAUUUGUCCUCAAUUUACAUAUUGAUAGAUGAGUCAUCAAGCCACAAGUUCAUGAGCUUUAUGGAUGCGUUCUCAGGGUAUAACCAAAUUCCUAUAGCUCUAAUAGAUCAAGAUGAAAUAGUUUUUGUCAUGGAAGAGGGCUUGUUCUGCUAUCGAAUUAUGCCUUUUUAGUUGAAGAACGCAGAUGCAACCUAUCAGAGAUUGGUUAAUAAGAAUUUCAAAGAGCAGAUUGGCCGUAGUGUUGAGGUCUACGUAGACGGUAUAUUAGUAAAGAGUUCUACCCUGAAAGGGCAUAUUAGGGGUUUUUCUGAAGCUUUUGUUGUUCUGCAAGCCUAUAAUACGAAGUUAAAUCCAAAUAAGUACGCUUUUGGUGUGAGAGAAGGGAAAUUCUUAGGCUUUCUGGUUUCAGAGAAAGGCAUAAAGGAACUUCUUUUAGUUGGACAGAGGAGUGUCAGGCUACUUUUGAAAAGCUCAAGUUUUACCUCACGUCUCCAUCACUUUUGAUGCCGCCUCGAGUAGGGGUGACUCUUUAUCUUUAUCUGGCAACCUUUGAAUAAACAGUAGCAGUAGUUUUGAUCAAGACAGAAGGGGUUCACCAAUUUCCUGUGUACUAUGUUAGUAAAGUGUUGUAGAAUGGCGAACAAAGAUACUCAAAGACACAAAAAAGCUUCUUUUCAGUUUAAUAGUGGCAGCUCGCAAAUUACGACCAUACUUUCAAGCUUAUCCCAUGACGGUCAUGACAAGUCAACCCAUCAAAGAAAUAUUGUUUAAAGUAGAUACCUCGGAAAAAUGACCAAGUGGGAAAUUAAGCUAGUAGAAUUUGGAAUAGAGUAUGCCUCAAGAACAACAAUCAAAGCUCAGAUCUUAGCUGAUUUCAUGGUGGAAUGUUCUUUUGACAGAUCAGUAGAGCAUAUAUGAAACUUUUUAAUUUGAAAAAAUAUUACUCAUAUAAAUGAUGCGAUAGUAUGUCACAUUGGUUAUUGGAAUUUUAUUUGACAAAGUACUCAUUUUGCUUCAUGGUAUUUUGUUACAAAUAUAUAUAUUUGGUUUUAAAAUUUUUUUCAUAUUGAUUAUACAAGAUGUAGUAGUUAGCUCAUUAUAUGGACAAACUAGCCUAACAACGAAGCCAAAAUACUGGACAAUUUAUAUGGAUGGCUCAAUAGCAAAGACGGGAUCUGGAACGACCAUUCUUCUUAUAAACCCUAUUGAGAAUAAAUGGUAGCAUGGACUCUCAUUUGGCUUCCAGGCAUUUAAUAGUGCUGCAGAGUGUGAGGCAUUAAUUCCUAGACUACAAUUAGCUUUACAGUUGGGGGCAAAGGAGUAUGAGGUAUUAAUUUCCAUAGCUUUUAGGACAAAGAAUACCAAAGCUAGCAUUUUAUCUAAGUUAGUGUCCUCUAUAACUAUCGAGCAAAGAGGGAAAAUUUAUUAGAAUAUAGAGCCACCCUAAGUUGUGACACCUAUCAAGUGCUUAAUAUGAGUAAAUAGGAAACAUGUAUGACCCCUAUAAUACAAGAUCUAUAAGGGGAAACUCACAAACUCAACAAAAAAGCUCGUUAAAUACAACAUAAUGCUACAAAAUACGAUAUUAUUAUUUACAUUUAAUAUAUUAUUGUAUCUACAAGUUUCUUAACCCUUAUUCAAUUAAAAUUGUUUAAUCUAUCACCUUUAGAUAUAUCAUGUUAGAGGGUGUUCUUUACAAAAAAAAGGUUACUUCCAACCACUUUUAAGAUGUCUCGAUCCCAUUAAAGCUGAAUAUGUUAUGAGAGAGAUACACGAGGGAAUAUACGAUGAUCACUUGGGAGGAAGACUGUUAGCAGCAAAGGUUCUCAGGUAGGGAUAUUAAUGACCAACUAUAUAGAAAGAUGCACAUCACAUGGUUCACAUUUGUGAUUCUUGCAAAAAACAUGCUCAAGUGCAGUGACCACUAACUGAGCCUAUACAAGUGAUGUAUGGUCCUUGGUCAUUUGCAACUUAGGGAAUAGAUAUUUUAGGUCCAUUUCCAAUAGCCACAACUUAGAAGAAAUUCAUAGUUAUAGCUGUAGACUAUUUUACUAAAUAGAUAGAAGCUGAAACUCUAACUACAAUCAUAGAGAGACAAAUGAAAUCUUUUCUCUGGAAAUCCAUUGUUUGCAGGUUUGACAUUCCAUGUUUGAUUAUAACAGACAAUAAAACCCAAUUCAAUGGAAAAUUUAAGAACUUCUUUAAGGACCUACAAAUUUCUCUAGUUCAAAGCUCUGUAAAAACACCUCAAACGAAUGAUAAAAUAGAAGUAAUGAAUAAGAAAAUCCUAACAACUUUAAAUAAAAAGGUUGAUAAAGCCAAAUGUGUCUAGUUAGAAGAGUUACCAAGAAUUAGAUGGGCCCUGCAAACUUCUCCUCACACAACAUUUGGAAAGACAACAUUCUUACUGGUAUAUAGGGCAGAAGUAGUAAUCCUUGUUAAGAUAGGCUUACGAUCCCACAGAAUAUCACAUUUUGAUGGAAAUGCCAACCAAGAGGCCAUCGAACUCAACUUAGAUUUUAUUAAUGAAGUUAAGGAGACAACAAAAAUCAAGAAUAUUGCGCGAGCUUAGCAAAUUGCUCGAUACUUUAACUCUAGAGUGAAAAACAAACAAUUUCAGUUGAGCGAUCUAGUCUUGAGGAAUACUGAAGCGAGUUUCCCAACAUCACAACAAGGAGAAUGACCUUAAUUGGGAGAGACCCUACAAAAUUGUUGAAAAAAUAGGCUAUGGAGCUUAUAAAAUAGAAAAAAAUGGAUGGCCAUGUUCUUUUUCGUACAUGGAAUGCAUGCUAUAACAAUCUAUUUUCAGUGGUGUCAAAAAUAGUGGUUUCGGAACCACAAUUUUGACUAGUGAGUCAAUAUUUUAUUAUUUAUUUAAUAUUUAUUCAGUUAUUACAGUAUCGUAUUAAAAUAUGGUUAAAAAAUUGUAAUGUUUAGAUGGUUAAUUAAGUAAAAAGGACUAAAUCGUAAAAAUUGUAAAAGUUAAUUACUAUUAGUUAACUAUAUUUAAUGAUUAUGAAUUAUGGUAUGAUUGAAAUAAUUAUCCUCAGAUCCAAUCUAAACACGGUUCACCGGGAUCCUGCGCACCCAACAUUAGCCCGCACCAUUUAAAUCCUCCACGUGUACCUCAUAUCGUUCGAGUACAACGAUUUAGCUACAUUCGCGAGUACGCAUUAAUCCAGCCUCAUCAUCUAGUGUAACUUUGUAAAAAAGGGUCACCGUCUUUCUGUCAAUUCCUUCCUUCCAACCACAUAUAUACAGCACGCCCCUUUUUCAUUUCUCUCCAUCUCUAUAUCUCUCAGCUCUUUUCUUCUCUUGUGUCACUGCUAAUAUUUUUUUUAUUGUCGUCUCCGGCGUUCGAAGAUCAUAAAAAACCGGAGUCGUUUCAAAUGGCUACGAGAACGGAUCUUGAUGGGAGGCCAAUAAAGCCGAUGACGAUAUGCAUGAUCGGUGCCGGAGGCUUCAUCGGCUCCCACCUUUGCGAGAAAUUGAUGUCGGAGACGCCGCACAAGGUGCUCGCCUUGGACGUUUACAAUGACAAGAUCAAGCACCUCCUCGAGCCUGACUCUCUCCCUUGGGCUGGCCGUAUUCAGUUCCACCGACUUAACAUCAAGCACGAUUCUAGGCUCGAAGGCCUCAUCAAGAUGGCAGAUCUCGUAAUUUCUUGCCUUUCAUGCUCUCUUUCUUUUCUUAUAUCAUUGCUACUACUUCCUUUUGCUGAAAAUUAUGUUCAGACUGAUCUUUUGCUGUUUCUCUUUAUUUUCCGCUUGACUGCUUUUUCUUCGUUUUGUUUGUUUAGUGUUCCCUUUUGUUUUAAUUUAUUAGAUCUCAUGCAAUCUUGUUUUUGUUUAUGUGAUUUUGACGUUCCUCUGGAGCUAAUUUUCUCUCAUUGUUGUUUAAAAGCUAGUUUCUUAUUAUCUGUUUGAUUUAUUUUGUUGAGUUUCAAAAGUUCCUGCUCAAUUUAUGGCGAUUGAUUUGGUUUUUAUUGUUUUUCUGGCAAUGUAGGUGAUAAAUCUUGCUGCCAUCUGUACUCCGGCAGAUUAUAAUACGCGUCCACUAGACACGAUUUACAGCAAUUUUAUUGAUGCACUUCCUGUGGUAAGCAUUUCUCUUGUAAUUGUUUUUUUGUCAUCUUUUAUUUCUCUUUUAGUUAGAUUGAUGUCGAUGUGAAUGAGGGGGGAUUUAAUUGUUACUAGCUUUUUGAGAUCGAAGUUGAAAUCAAUGUUGUGAACUUUUGUGGUUUGAUAGGUGAAGUACUGUUCAGAGAACAACAAGCGUCUCAUUCACUUCUCUACUUGUGAAGUGUAUGGAAAAACUAUUGGAAGCUUUCUUCCUAAAGAUUCUCCUCUCCGUCAGGUAACCUUUCACUUUCCUUUUUUAAUAACUUAAUUGAGUAUCUCUUGAAAAAGGAUUUUACAUCUAUGCUUUGCUUUUAACAGGGUAACAUGUAUGGUUUUGUAUAGAUCUUUCGGUGGUCUUUUUAUGUGAAAGAUCCAAUGUAUAUUUUUUGAUUUAUAGUUUAAUAUUUUAGUAGGAAAAAAAAAUUGGAGUUGGUGUUGAGCUGAAAUGUCAAGCUAUUUUAAAUGAAUGAAUCUUGAAAUUGGAUGGUCAGCAGACAUUGGUCAACGCCCUCCUAAAAAAAUGGAGGCUCGUUGGUGGGAGUUUAUGUGGUUGUUUGGUUCAAUGUAAUAGCAACUUACUGUGAUAGUUGAAUGGUUAAUGAGGUCUUACUUAGUCUAUCAAGUUGUACCUAUGCGUUGUUUAUAACAAGUUAUGCCAAUUUUAUUUGCUGGUCAGCCCCUUUAUGCGUAAGCAGUGUCAAGCCGAGAUCUUUAUUCCUGCACUGAUUAUUGAUAUGUUCUUCUCAAGUUUUUAAAAUUUGUUGACUAUCAUUUAUUUUCUUUCUUUGUCAGUCAUGUUUAUAACACCAACUAUAAGAAGCUAUCUUAUUUUGGUUUUAGUUGUGCUUGUACUGAAGUAAGAGACCUUUUUCUAUAUAAAAAAAAAAGGAGACUUUUGGAAAAGCUCUUUUAUUAAUUUGUUUGCUUCAUGAGGCUGAAGGGUUCAAACUAUGCCAUUUUUUAAAAGACUUUUGUUUAUCAAGCAAUCUGCUUUUUAGACGUAUUUUAUGUGUAUGGCUAAAUCUGUGGUGAUGCUGAGAAUGAUUUAUUAUGCUUUUUUUUUGUUUUUUUCUCCUUUAAAUUUUUAAGUUUCCUUUAGUGUUAUUGUUCCUUUUCCCCUCCCAUAUUUAUAGAUGUUAUUAAUAUGUUCAUUCUCUGAUUUAUGUGAUAUAGGAUCCUGCCUACUAUGUUCUUAAGGAAGAUACUUCCCCCUGCAUUUUUGGUUCAAUUGAGAAGCAGAGGUGGUCCUAUGCAUGUGCUAAGCAGUUGAUUGAGAGGCUUAUUUAUGGUUAGCAUCUUAUCAAGUAGCCUGGUCCCAAUAGAGAUGCUUAGAAUAAUAUUAACUGACUUCGUUUUAUAUCCAUUUCAGCUGAAGGGGCAGAGAAUGGCCUCGAGUUCACUAUUGUGAGGCCUUUUAACUGGAUUGGACCCAGGAUGGAUUUCAUUCCUGGCAUUGAUGGUCCUAGUGAGGGAGUUCCCAGAGUUCUUGCAUGCUUUAGUAAUGUUAGUCGAACUCUUUUCCUAAUUCAAGGAAUCCUAGAAGCCAUCUAUAAUUUCUCCUUUCAAUUCUUUUGAUAGUUAUAUUUUGAAUGUUAAUUUUUCUUUUUCCUGUUUAGAAUCUCCUACGUCGUGAACCACUUAAGCUUGUGGAUGGUGGCGAAUCUCAGAGAACUUUUAUAUACAUAAAGGAUGCUAUUGAAGCUGUUCUCUUGAUGAUUGUGCGUAUUAACUUGUCUCUUCUUACUCGCCCUCUUCCCUCCCUCAUCCCCACAUCUAGCCAAAUGCAGAAAUUAAACUAAACUGUUGGGUGUCAUUUGUCCAGGAAAAUCCAGAUAGGGCCAAUGGCCAUAUUUUCAAUGUGGGUAACCCGAACAAUGAAGUCACAGUUAGGCAACUUGCUGAAAUGAUGACUAAGGUGAAGCACAUAGUUUCUAUUGUUCGUAUUUUUAUUUUUUUUAUAGUGGUGUAUUCGAUCACAUGUAAUUUAUAACUACAUGCCUUUGGGCUCUUCAGGUCUAUGCCAAGGUUAGUGGAGAAACUGUGCUGGAGUCUCCAACAGUUGAUGUCAGCUCCAAGGAAUUUUAUGGUGAGGGUUAUGAUGAUAGUGACAAGAGAAUUCCAGACAUGACCAUAAUAAACAAACAACUCGGUAGGUUGUGCUUUUCUUAGUUGUUCUCAUAUGAUCUUUGGAUUUUCAUCUUGUAAGUGAAUUGAGCAUCUGAUCAAUUGUUUAAUUACUGCAACAGGUUGGAACCCCAAGACAUCCCUUUGGGACUUGCUCGAAUCUACCCUAACCUACCAACACAGGACUUAUGCCGAGGCUAUUAAGAAAUCCAUAGCAAAACCUUCUGCAUCCUAAAGGAGGCUAGAUGUUUAAACCACGGCUAAGAAAGGACUCAUUAAAUGUGCUUCAUGGCAAAUGUUUCAAUUCUUCUUUCCCCCCCUUCUUUUAGGAAGUCUUAAAUAUAUCAUACUGUUGCUUUUCUUUAUACCCCCCCCUUUUUUUUUUGUCUUCCCCGUGUUGGUAGUUGAUAGCUCACUGUAGCUCUGGCAGCUAUGUUAUCAGAAUGGUUUUAGACGUUCUUACUGGGGAAUGGUAUUGUUUUAGUAUUAUAAUUAUUAUUCCAGUGGAGCUUUGAGCUGCAGCAGCAUGUUGGGGGCGUUAAAUAUUACACAAAAGGAAAGGAAAAACUGUUUUUAUGGUUUUUUAGAUGGUUCUAUAAUUUGUCUCACCUGAGUUUUGUUAAUUUGUUUGAACCUCUUCACUUGCUCAUGUUGUUAUUAUUAUUUUGUUCUUUUUCUCAUUUCCUAAGCAAAUCGAAGGGAAGAGACUAAACUGCCUGUUUAGUCACUAGUAAGACCGUCAUGGUGUUGAAGAAUUAACAGCGGAGUAACUAAUUAAAACAAAUUUGAAAAUUUUAGGAAUUAAAUUGAAAUUUUGAUAGUUAGGUGACCAAAAACAGAACUACAGUGAAAAUUUAGUUCUAAAUAAGUAGCUAACCCUAAAAAAAUAAAGUAAAAUAGCUCUAUUUUCUGGUCUAGGUUUCAUAAUUUCCACCAAUAAACUAUUGCCGUAUAGAAUAGUAACUUUCGAUUAGCCACCCUUAUAAAUGAUUUUUUUUUUAAAUUUCGAGUUAAUCAAAUUGAGUUAUUUGAGUUUAUAGAGUCAAUUCGAAUAAGUAAUUCAAGUUUCGAGUUGAGUUAAAUUUUACAAUUUAAUAACUCGAAUAGUUUGAAUAGUUCAAAUGAUAGAUGGAUGUAAAUAUCCCUUUUGGUCACUAUUAAUUUUGAAAAUGAAAAAAAUUGAUCUUUUUAACAAAAAUUUUAAAAUAAUCAAAAUAAUUUUAAAUAAUUUUUAAAAUUAAAAAUACUUAUAAAAUUUUUAAAAUUUAUAUUUUAAAAAAAUUUAAAAAUUCUAAAGAAUAUAUUAAAAAAUUUAAAAAUUAUAAAAUAUAAUUUUGGGGCCUAAAUAAGUAAAUUAAUGAUUUAAGUUUAUUAUAAUAAAGUAUUAUUUCUCUUAUUUUGCUUUGAAAGAGUUUUUUAAAUAUAUAUGGUUUUAAAUUUAUGUUCUCUAACAUGAAAAUAAUUGUACUGUAAUGAGAUUUUAAUUUGAUAUGUUUAAAUUUUUUAAAUUUAAUUCGAACAAUUUAAUUCAAAAAAUUUCAUUCGAUUCAACUUGAUUCGUAUUUAUCGGAGGUAAGUGAGCAUAAUAUUUUAGAGGAAAGUGUUAGGUGUUGUUUGCAUAAUGUGGAUAGUAAUUAAUUAAAUAAAUAAAACUCUUAAAUAAACUAACCGACCGUAAUUAAGGAGUUUUAUUUACAAUAUAUCUCUAGGAAUUUAAUAUAAACUUUUUUUUUUAAAAUAAUAAUGUACUAAGCUAAAUAUCUAGACUUGAACUCAUAUUACACUCUCUUCAUCCGCGUGAUCGAACAUUACAAAAUAAUUCAUCUAUUUGAUCGAUUUCUUAGAUAAAUUAGGAUUCAUUAUUUCUUUGAAGAUUUUGCAACUUACUUUCUUUAAAUUGAUUUUUUAUUUGUUUUCUUGCAAGGUGGAAUCAGGGGCUCUUAUAAUUUUUUUUAGGGAGGGAAAUUGAAUUAUAAUUUUUAAGAGAUUAAAAUAUAAUUUUAUUAUAGGUUAACUUUAUUGUUUUAGGAUUUAAUAGAACUUUUCUCAUUUGAGACGGCAAAAUGCAAUUUUAUCCUAUAUUAAUUUAUAAUUUAAUCAUUUAUAAGGGGGUUGAAUAAUUAUUUUUUUUUUCAUUUUGAAAGGGGUCAAGGCUCUUGUCUACCCCUUAAAUUGACCCAUCUAUUUAAGUGGAGAGAUUGGUUGUAAAUACAAGUGCUAAUAAUAAGGAAUUAUUGUGAGGAAUCGAAAGUUGCAGAUUUAAUCAUGUCAUUAAGUUGCAAAGAGUUUCCUUGUGGUCAACAAGGUAUUCCAUUCACAUCAACAACGACUUCUUUACCUUUUUGUUUGUUUGUUUGUUUGUUGUAAUCCCACCAACAUGUAUAAAAUAGUUCCUUACUGUUCCAAUUAUUUCUAAAAGUCAUAUUGGAUAACUGGACAUAGAACACAAUGCAAACAAAAAGUGAGAAGUACGCAAAAGUUGACAACAUUUUGUGAGGGAAAAGAAAUCUACGUUGAACAAAAACAAAUUCAUGCGAUAGACAAAAAGGAGUAAUUGAUUAAUUGAAGUAAAUGUGAUAAUAUGAAUAUUUGAGAAUCAUGUUCUAAUGAUGAUUUAGAAGAUAGAGACAGGUUACUCUGUGAAGAAGAAAGUGUAACAAAAGAAAUUUUAAAUUAUUAGGUUGUUCACUAAAGUAUAUAGUUUAGAUAAGUUUGAAACAUUUUAUCCUCCUAAAGAGUUAUUUUUUAUGACAUCGUUGGUGAGAUUAUUUCAUAUAAAAGAUUGAGUGUAAAAGAGGUUGAAAGUGAUAAAAACCAAAUUGAAGCCACACCUAGUGCAUAAUAGCAUACACAAAAUUAAAAUUGAGAAAAGAAUGAAAAGAACCAAAUAUGUUGUAUAUGCAAAAUAGAGAAGUGGUUAUGUUUUAACUAACUAUAACUUGAAUUUGUCUAUUGGUGUUUAUUUAUUUUAAGAUUUUAGUAAUCCACCAAGAGGAACUUAAUUACAUUAUUCCACCCAUAAUAGAAGAUUUUACAUGUGGGAGCAAGUUAAAUUGAACAUUUAAAGUUUUCCACACUGUUGGAAAAUAUGGACAUCACAUAUAUAAUAAUAGUAAUUGCACGUUAUUAUUUACUAUCAUAAAAGAUUAGCCAAAAUUAAAAGUGAUCUAAUUUGGUUAAGGUUUAUUGGGCUUUAGUUAUUAAAUAAAGUACGAGUCAAAUAUGUGUAGAUACUCUAGUAACUAGUUUCUAAUUGAUGAUGGGAUGAUUAGAAAUUAGGAUUAAUCUGCAAAGGUUAUACAUUAGGGUUAUGGUCUUCAUACUACACAUAACGUAACUUUUUUAAUAUCUCAUCUUUAGAAAGUAGAGAGCCACCUUCUCUAAAUUACUUGUGUGCUAAUUUAGAAGAUCAAAGCCAUAAAAUCCGAAGAUUUCAAGAAAUCAAUGAAUCCAAGUACGCUUCCGUAUCUAACUUUGUUCUUGAUGAUUUUACAUGACAGAUCCUAAUUUAUUAAGCUUUAUUUCAAAUUUAUUUUUGCAGUUCUAACAAUAAUAAAUAAGCAAAGGUAGGCAUGCCUUGAAAUGCUAGAAUGUGUAUGCCACUAAUUUUUGCUUUGUAGAUAAUGCAUGACCAAUUCUUAUUUAGAGAGAGUAAGCUUAGCAUGUUUAAUUGUCCCAAGAGUGGUUAUAGUGAUGAUUUAAUGGACUUUGUUGGCGUUGGUAGAAUUUGACUUGAAAUUUUCACCCUAUUAUUUGAAUGAUUCUUCGUUAAUUUCUUAUUAAAUUCUGGCAUGAUAAUCUCAUAUUGAUUUUGUGGUAGAUUUAUUUAGGUUUGAGAGGAUUAAACUAAGUAAUUUUGUUGUGUUGGACAGAUUUUGAAUGCAUGCUAUGAGUUUGACAAUGCAACCAAUCUUGCAAAUUGAACUUUAUGAAAAUGGAACACUUGCAUGAUGUUCUUAAAAAUAUUGUUUGACAUCCUCACGGUCUGCCGAAUUUUUGCAUGAUUUCUAUUUGGUAGUCAUGGAAAAAAAAGGAAUUUAAGUUUUAUAGAAUAAUUAAAAUUUUAAAAAUAGAGGGACUAAAUUUGUUAAAAUGAAAGAAAAAGAAAAUUGCAAAUAUUUUAUUUCUUCGUUAUACGUUGUCAUUCAAUUAACUCAAAACUCAUGCAAUAGCUUGAGGUUUUAUUAUAUUACUAGGGACAACUACGACAAAGAUAAAGAGCGCUGCCAUCCAUUUUUAUUAUGUAGCUAUAUAUCAUUAUUUCCUUUCCCAUUUGCUGACGAGCUUCCAUGGCCUACUUCACUUGACACUGCAAUGCGACAACAAAAACAAAUGCAUUCAUCAGUUGAGCUUGGGUCAUUAAUUGUCCUUUGCCUUAAUUCUGUGAAAUUUAAUUUUAAAUUUGAGUGGUUAAAAUGUAGGAAGAACCUUUUGCAGUUAGUGCUGGGGCUGAUCUUGAAAGGGCUGUGCACCCCACACAUGCCUGGGAGUUUGUUCGUAAGGUCAUAGUUGAUGCCAGAAAUGCUGGCAGCUAAUGCUUUGACGCAGUUGCAAGCUGAUUGGCGCUCUGGAGUUGAUUGGGCAGCCUCGUUGAGAGAUCUGAUCCCAUUGCAGCAAGAUGCAGGCACGCCACCAGCACCGUUGUUUCUCACGUAAGGAAUGCAGGGUGCCAAGGCUGAUAUGGCUUGGCCACAACUUAUGGCCCCUUCAGCCAGGGGUGCACCCACAACCAAGCACAAGACCACACCACAUGCAAGCUUGAGGGCCACAGUGCUGGCCAUAUGAUUCACUAAUUAGAAGAAAUCAAACAAUUUUAUAUAACUUGUAAGGAAAAUUGAUU
rnacentral:lncRNA from 1 species